UACGUAGGGUGCAAGCGUUAAUCGGAAUUACUGGGCGUAAAGCGUGCGCAGGCGGUUUUGUAAGACCGAUGUGAAAUCCCCGGGCUUAACCUGGGAAUGGCAUUGGUGACUGCACGGCUAGAGUGUGUCAGAGGGGGGUAGAAUUCCACGUGUAGCAGUGAAAUGCGUAGAGAUGUGGAGGAAUACCGAUGGCGAAGGCAGCCCCCUGGGCCAAUACUGACGCUCAUGCACGAAAGCGUGGGGAGCAAACAGG
rnacentral:rRNA from 1 species